rnacentral:rRNA from 1 species
CGGUGGAGUAUGUGGUUUAAUUCGAUGCAACGCGAAGAACCUUACCUGGUCUUGACAUCCCGGAGACCCUUAGGAACUAGGGGUGCUUCCAUCUGGAAGAAUCUGGAGACAGGUGCUGCAUGGCUGUCGUCAGCUCGUGUCGUGAGAUGUUGGGUUAAGUCCCGCAACGAGCGCAACCCUUGCCUUUAGUUGCCAGCAGUUCGGCUGGGCACUCUAAAGGGACUGCCGGUGUUAAACCGGAGGAAGGUGGGGAUGACGUCAAGUCCUCAUGGCCUUUAUGACCAGGGCUACGCACGUACUACAAUGGCCGAUACAAAGGGCAGCGACACUGCGAGGUGAAGCCAAUCCCGUAAAAUCGGUCUCAGUCCGGAUUGGAGUCUGCAACUCGACUCCAUGAAGUUGGAAUCGCUAGUAAUCGUGGAUCAGCAUGCCACGGUGAAUACGUUCCCGGGCCUU